CAAUAUCGAGUGUUGUGUAUUUUUAUGUUGAAAAUACUCCCACUGAAGAAUGGAAGACUAAAAACUAAAAUGACGGACAUACUUCGCACGGUGGAUGGGCUAAUGUUGUAAGUAAGAAGUUGAGUAGAUAGGACAUAGAGGGGAAUUUAAUGUAUUUUUGUAUACAACGAUCAAUCAUUGCUAACGAAAAACGAUUCUGAGCGGAUGAGUUCGGUUAGACGUAUUUUAAAAGGCCGUAAUAUUUACGAUUUCCGUAAAACUCUGAUAUUCAAAUUAUUAUGAAAAAAAAUACUACAUUAAACUCAAUUAUUUCUUGUUGACCUUUAAGUACAACUUAUAAUGAACAACCUUAAAGUUAAAUUUCAAGUAUUUCUGUUUGGUCUUAACAACUGUUCACAGAGUACCUACCAAAUGUAUUAUUAAAAUUACGGAAUUUUACGUAAAUACGAUAUUUACGUAAAAAUUUCGCAAAAUUAAAAUGUUUCUAAAUAACGUAAAAAUGGCUCAAAUAUUUUGAACUUUGACCACGUCUAGAAAAAACAAACAUUACUUUUCUAUUACAAUAUCAAGUCUCCACGAAAAGUUUCUAACUGAACUAAAUUAUAACAAAAAAACAAAAUUUAAAAUAAUAAAAACAUUAUUUUAGUAAAUUUCCCGUUUUUUCUACGUUUUUCCCAAUUAUUUUGAAAAUUCUUGAAAAAUCAAACAAUUAUCGCCCUAGGAAAAUUUCCUUUGAGAAAAGCUACUACACUUGAAAAUAGAAGGAAGAUUUCUUAGAGAAUUUGUUAUACACACAGUAUAAUAGAAAUUAAAUAAAAUUUAAAAAAUUAAACAUUAUUGUAAAACCAAUAAUACGUCCUUCGCUCAGAAUCUAAAAUUCCGAAAAUAUUAAAUGCCAGUAAAUAUCUCUCAAAUAAAUAGAAUUUGUCCAUUUUAUUAUAUUUUUUUCCCCAGGUUUUCCGGAUUAUCAUGAAAACUAGCUGAAAAUCAAAAAAUCAUAAUAUUUUUAGUGCAUCAACUAGAUUUGAAAUGCCACAAAAAUCUCUCUUGUCGUUUUUUGGUUGGACGAAGAUUUCCGGUAGAGAAAUUGUUGCAGACACGUAAACAUUUAAAAAAAAAAAUCAUAGUAGUUACAUAUGUUAAUUAUGCCAGUAUAUUUCUCGUUCCACU